CCUACGGGUGGCUGCAGUGGGGAAUAUUGGACAAUGGGGGAAACCCUGAUCCAGCGACGCCGCGUGAGUGAAGAAGUAUUUCGGUACGUAAAGCUCUAUCAGCAGGAAAGAGCAGGACGGUACCUGACUAAGAAGCCCCAGCUAACUACGUGCCAGCAGCCGCGGUAAUACGUAGGUGGCAAGCGUUAUCCGGAUUUACUGGGUGUAAAGGGAGCGUAGACGGCAGCGCAAGUCUGGAGUGAAAUGCCGGGGCCCAACCCCGGAACUGCAUUGGAAACUGGCGAACUAGAGUGCGGGAGGGGUAAGCGGAAUUCCUAGUGUAGCGGUGAAAUGCGUAGAUAUUAGGAGGAACACCGGUGGCGAAGGCGGCUUACUGGACCGUAACUGACGUUGAGGCUCGAAAGCGUGGGGAGCAAACAGGAUUAGAUACCCCGGUAGUC
rnacentral:rRNA from 1 species